rnacentral:rRNA from 1 species
UACGUAGGGACCAAGCGUUGUUCGGAUUUACUGGGCGUAAAGGGCGCGUAGGCGGCGCGGUAAGUCACUUGUGAAAUCUCUGAGCUUAACUCAGAACGGCCAAGUGAUACUGCAGUGCUAGAGUGUGGAAGGGGCAAUCGGAAUUCUUGGUGUAGCGGUGAAAUGCGUAGAUAUCAAGAGGAACACCUGAGGUGAAGACGGGUUGCUGGGCCAAACACUGACGCUGGAUGCGCGAAAGCCAGGGGAGCAAACGGG